CUUAUUGUGAAAUAAUUGGGUAGUGGGCUUUGAUAAAUAAUAAUUUUCAAAUAAAAGGGUAUUUUUGAGAAAAAUACAAGAAAUUUGCGAGUCCUCACAGAGGGAGACUAAAUCUGGUCUUUCCCCAUGGGCGGAUGUACUUUUUAUAGUUUUUAGUUUCUCUUAUUUGAAUAAAUUUUCUCAUAGGAUUUUCUAAUGAGAGAUUCUUCUCUUCUAGGAUCUCCUAGUAAGAGUUUCUUCUCUCCUAAAUUGUUCUAAUGAGAGUUUUAUUCUCUUUUGGAUUUUUCCUUGUGAGAGUUUUUUAGAUUUUUAUCUUUGUGAAAUUUUAGAUUUUGUAGAUCUAGAAUC
rnacentral:lncRNA from 1 species